rnacentral:rRNA from 1 species
UACGUAGGGGGCAAGCGUUGUCCGGAAUCAUUGGGCGUAAAGCGCGCGUAGGCGGCCCGGUAAGUCCGCUGUAAAAGUCCAGGGCUCAACCCUGGAAAGCCGGUGGAUACUGUCGGGCUUGAGUACGGAAGAGGCGAGUGGAAUUCCUGGUGUAGCGGUGAAAAUGCGCAGAUAUCGGGAGGAACACCAAUGGCGAAGGCAGCUCGCUGGGACGGUACUGACGCUGAGGCGCGAAAGCGUGGGGAGCAAACAGG